AGGCAGCGAUCGUAAAAGCGCGUGUUGUAUUUUAUAUUAAAUUAAACAAGUGAACACGCAGGUAAGUACCUGGUAGUGGUACACGAUCGUGAGCGAGGGUCGUUGAGAGACUGUAACGAGUGAAUACGAAGAACGUUAUGUGAGGAGACUUAAAAAGUUCAACCGCGUCGUUUCUGAGAUCUGUGAAUUUAACUUAGAAAAAAAGUAAUUUUCAUAUUUAUUAUUUGUUUAGAUAAUUUUAAGUGUUGAGAUUCUUAAGAAGAUUUUGAAGAUAAAAUCUACACAAACAAAUGAGGAUGAAAAAGAAACACGCGCGAACACGAUACAAGAGCACGUACUUACAGUACGAAAGGGGUUUUCAACUGCGUAGUACAGUGCCCAGAGUCGUGUUUGUAAGUAUCAAGAUCGAAGAAAUGGUGAACACUUUCUUCGUCUCACUAUCAGUCGCACGGUCGUAGCAAAACUACAACGCGCAACGUCAAGAGUUUCAAUAGAAGUGUGAUAGCAGACCUAAUUUCGCGGGGUUUAUAUACCGUAGACCAAGACCCACAGGAAGCUUUUUGAGUGGGGGAACCACCCCAUUGGUUGAGCAACGACCAAUGAGCUAUCGCCCGCAUGACGAAGUUUCAACGUUCCUCAGCUAUAAAUCAUCCUAAAAACUAAAGGACCGAUGCUCAAAUAUUGGUACAUUCCGGGAAGAAGCGAAAGCUGUUUCUCACAUGUUUUUCCAAAGACCUCAUUUCAAGGAAUUUUAGCUGCUUAAGUUAAAAAAAAAAUUCUUAGAAGUCUUUUGUU